CUUAGAAAUGGAUAAAUUUUGCUUUAUAUUUUUUUCAAUGAGGUAAAAUUCCUCAUUUAAAAAUGCUAGAAAUGGUUAAGUUUUGGCUUAUAUUUUUGAAUGAAGAAGGCUUCCUUAUUUAAUCUAAUUUGUGUUGUUGUUCCAAUGGCACAUUGAUUAAAUG